AAAAACCAUAGAAUUACCAAAUGCCGCGGAACUUACAAGUACAAUGAUCAGUGAAAGUACAGAUCAAGUACAAUGAAAAUGCCCUGGAUUUACAGUGUAAGAACGGUGCAUAAAACUACUAAAAUACAUAGCAAGUACACUGAAAAAGCAUAUGAACUUACAGUGUAAAUACAGACUAAAAAUGCAGAGUAACUACAGCGAUACUACCAUAAUAAAUACAGUGUAAAUCACCAAAAAAUCUAUGCUGGAAUACCAAGGGAACUAAAAUACCCAGGAACUUUAAAAAUACACCGGAAAGACCACUGUCCUCCUAAUUCUCGACUUUUUAUACAGAUCCAGUAAUUCACAGAUAAUUCUUUACAAAAAAAUGUAGAUGGGGAGCAUGAGAAGAACAAUAACAAAAGACAAUCUACUGUCACUAUCACAAGAAGAUCUCAUUCAAAAUGUGAGUAUCACUAAAUGGCAAAAACUCACAAGAAAAUGUUGCGUACAUCAAAAUCAAAAUAGCUCACACAAAAAAUACAUUGUAGGAAUCGUUUUCUUUUACAGCACUCCUACAAUAAGACAUUAUGUACAAGGUCAGAAAAGCAACUUUGAAAUACAGUAGUGGUACCAAACCUCUUGACAAAAAAGAGUGUUUUCUUAGUAUGCUAUUCCAACAAGAACUCCAGUUAACUUAACAUGGUGAUUGCAGGUACAUUCGGCAAAUGGGGCUACAUCAACAACACAAUUAAGAGUGGAGGACUCCAGUAACAAAACACAUAACACCAACAGCCCAACAAUUCAUUCUAGAACAUUGGAAGAAAUGCAAAACAAAGCUACACCAAGCGAAGAAGGCGCAACAGAACCGAACCCCUGGAAAACAGACAUGUUUGCCCACAUGAAUUUGGAACAGGUGGGCACAUUAAUAAAAUUUCAGAAACAAGUACAUAUCAUACAAGUUGAAACUAGUAAGAAGAAUAAAUCCGAAACAAAAUGCUAAGUAUCCAGGAGACUGAAGAUGUUCACCCCAGUUCAGCAGCAACAAAAACAAACUCAAACACUUGCCACAGCAAUGAAGAAAGAGAAAGGGGAGAAUCAGAGCACUCACACAAAUGCAAAUUCCGAAGAUGAUACUAAUGUAACGUCCUGGCGAGAGACUUUCCGAAGCUUACCCAUUAAACUAAAACCUAUAAAUUGCAGAGCUGAAGCAUGAAUAUUACACUAAAAAUUAGGGCGGAAAUUACACUAUAAAUACAGAAAUAAAAGCAAGGGGGCUUAGACUGUAAAUCUGGGAUAACACUGCAUUAUUGGGAACAUUACACUGUAAAUACAUAGAAUAAGCAAGGCGUUUAUAAUGUAAAACUAGGGUUACACUGGAAUUCUUGGGAAGAUUACACUGUAAACAGGACAUAGUUCAUAACUGCACCACAACGACACUCGAACAAUCAACAAGAAUGAAAGCCAAAAUUUCAGGAAUUACAUAACCGAAUCAUACAAAAUUACACUGUAAAAAAUGGGACACAUUAUAACUCUGGGAUAAUAUGUAAGCAGCAUGUGAAUUACACAGUAACUCUGGGGGUAAUUACACUGAAACUCUGGGACAAAUUACACAACAACUCUAAGGUAUAUUACACUGGAACUCUGGGGUAAUUACACAGUAACUCUGGGGUAAUCACAGUGUGUAAAACUCUAGGGUCAAGUACAUAUAAUAAGCAUGAGAAUUACACGGUAACUCUGGGGGGAAUUACACUGCAACUCAGGGAAAUUACACAGUAACUCUGGCCUAUAUUACACUGAAACUCUGGACAUAAUUACGCAGUAACUCUAGGAUAAUUACACUACAGAAACAUAAGUAAAAUACAGACUCAAUACAAAUAGAGUUACACUGCAAAUCCUGGUUGGUUCAAUCAACCAGGAGCAUUAGAAAAAUGAAAGAAUAGAGGAAUUGAAGUGCAAAGCACAUAAAAAUACAGAGAAAAGCGCACAAUUCAAUAGAUAAUCUAGAUAACCUACAUGAACUUCAGAAAACAAAUACUAGCAAAAGAACACAUAAAUUAUUGUGCUUACACUCUAAUACAUGAGCACUGAAAAAAUACAUUGAUAAGAACCAACACUCACAAACUAGGGGUAAGUACAGGGCUAGAACACAGGGGAAAAUAGAAAAUAUAACCUGGAAAAUACACCAAAAACAGAGCUAACUGGAGGCUGGGGUAAGUCUGAUACACCCAGAGGCCAUUGAUAACACUCAGAAGUCAUGGAACCUGUGCACUGCAUGCAGUAGAGGCCACUGAUAACAACUAACUACAACUAAACCUCACCAAAAUUCAUGUAUCUACUACAAAAAACCAACAGGAUCCACGAACAUAAAGACCACCUGCCAGCGCAAGUCACCAAACUCUAACCACAAAAACACUCAUCUGAAACCCUGCAUCUAAUCCAUACAUCUACAUCUAACCAAAAAAAAAACGAGACAACUACCAGCGCCUACCACGAAUCUACAACAACACGGCGGCUACAAACACCAAUCACGAACCCACAAAGAAAUCACGGCAGCAAUUCACCUAGAUCUGGAAAGCCACACACCCAGAAACAAU